UGGCGGACGGGUGAGUAACGCGUGGACAACCUACCCCGCACUGGGGGACAACAGCCGGAAACGGCUGCUAAUACCGCAUAUGCGCACAGCCCCACAUGGGGCGGUGCGGAAAGCCUUGUGCGGUGCGGGAUGGGUCCGCGUCUGAUUAGCUGGUUGGCGGGGUAACGGCCCACCAAGGCGACGAUCAGUAGCCGGCCUGAGAGGGUGGACGGCCACAUUGGGACUGAGACACGGCCCAGACUCCUACGGAAGGCAGCAG
rnacentral:rRNA from 1 species